rnacentral:rRNA from 1 species
GAUGAACGCUAGCUACAGGCUUAACACAUGCAAGUCGAGGGGAAACGACGUCGAAAGCUUGCUUUUGAUGGGCGUCGACCGGCGCACGGGUGAGUAACGCGUAUCCAACCUGCCCACCACUUGGGGAUAACCUUGCGAAAGUAAGACUAAUACCCAAUGACGUCUCUAGAAGACAUCUGAAAGAGAUUAAAGAUUUAUCGGUGAUGGAUGGGGAUGCGUCUGAUUAGCUUGUUGGCGGGGUAACGGCCCACCAAGGCGACGAUCAGUAGGGGUUCUGAGAGGAAGGUCCCGCACAUUGGAACUGAGACACGGUCCAAACUCCUACGGGAGGCAGCAGUGAGGAAUAUUGGUCAAUGGGCGAGAGCCUGAACCAGCCAAGUAGCGUGCAGGAUGACGGCCCUAUGGGUUGUAAACUGCUUUUAUAAGGGAAUAAAGUGAGUCUCGUGAGACUUUUUGCAUGUACCUUAUGAAUAAGGACCGGCUAAUUCCGUGCCAGCCGCCGCGGUAA